rnacentral:tRNA from 1 species
GCCUGGAUGGCUCAGUCGGUUGGGCAUCCGACUUCGGCUCAGGUCAUGAUCUCACAGUUUGUGGGUUCGAGUCCCGUGCCGGGCU